UAAAUGUCGCCUGAUCUCUAUAUCCCUUCAAAUUACAGCAAAAUAUGAUCACUGCAGGGUGUAAUCACUACCGGAUAUCUAAGAGAAUUAGAUAUCAAUCCAUAAAUCUGCAUACGAUGAAGAUUAAUACUUGAUCCCUUAAGUCACAACAAAAAAGUUUUAAUUAAGUUUUAUUUUAUUAUUUCUAGAAGUACAACAUGGCCGCUCCUGGAGGGAAAUUAUUGAAGGUGUUUGUGACGCGAUGUAAGUCGGCGAUUCCAGUUCCGGCUGCCCAGCUUUUAGAACAAAAUUUCCAGGUUGAGUAUUGGACUAAACCUGACCCUAUUCCUAGGGAGAAUUUAUUGCUGGGUGUGAGAGGAGUGGAUGGAAUAUUUUGUAUUCUCACUGAUAAGAUUGAUAAACAGGUAAUA